AGAGUUUGAUCCUGGCUCAGGAUGAACGCUGGCGGCGUGCCUAACACAUGCAAGUCGAGCGUGAACCAUUGGAAUGAAACUUCGGUCGAGUGAAGAUGGGGAAAGCGGCGGACGGGUGAGUAACGCGUAGGCAACCUGCCCCGUACAGGGGGAUAGCCUCGGGAAACCGGGAUUAAGACCCCAUAAUACCUUUUGUUCACAUGGAUGAAAGGUCAAAGAUUUUAUCGGUAUGGGAUGGGCCUGCGUCUGAUUAGCUGGUUGGUGGGGUAACGGCCUACCAAGGCAACGAUCAGUAGCCGACCUGAGAGGGUGAUCGGCCACAUUGGAACUGAGACACGGUCCAAACUCCUACGGGAGGCAGCAGUGGGGAAUAUUGCACAAUGGGCGCAAGCCUGAUGCAGCAACGCCGCGUGAGCGAGGAAGGCCUUUGGGUCGUAAAGCUCUGUCGGGAAGGAAGAUAAUGACGGUACUUCCCGAGGAAGCCCCGGCUAACUACGUGCCAGCAGCCGCGGUAAUACGUAGGGGGCGAGCGUUAUCCGGAAUUAUUGGGCGUAAAGAGUGCGUAGGUGGUUUCUUAAGCGUGGGGUGAAGGCCAUUGGCUCAACCAGUGUAAGCCCCGCGAACUGGGGAACUUGAGUGCAGGAGAGGAAAGCGGAAUUCCUAGUGUAGCGGUGAAAUGCGUAGAUAUUAGGAGGAACACCAGUGGCGAAGGCGGCUUUCUGGACUGUAACUGACACUGAGGCACGAAAGCGUGGGGAGCAAACAGGAUUAGAUACCCUGGUAGUCCACGCCGUAAACGA
rnacentral:rRNA from 1 species